rnacentral:lncRNA from 10 species
CUGAUCCAUGGCCACUGAGCCGUAAGCAAUGAAUUCCUGAUCGGAGAACCAGAAUUUUGUUGGCAAACUCCAGGGGUUUGACCUAGGUCUGGCUGCUCACCACACAGAAAGCCAAUCAUUGAGACAACAAAUGUUGCUCCAGAAGAAAAGCUGUAUUGGAGGUGACGUCAGCCUAACUGUCAAACCUCUCCCUCCUCAACCAACUAAAGUUAGGGGUUUGUAAAGCAGGGAAGGAGAACAGGAGCAGCAAGAAAGAGGAGUUGGUCAACAGGCAGCAGGUGUGUCUCAUUGUCUGGGUGCAGCAAUCUGGAAAGCCUCAGCUUUCUGAUACCAUCCAGGAGGCUCAAAGGUCAAUUUCCUGAGAAAGGAACUCAGAUAAGCCAAAUGUACGUUUCUCAAGUUUCAGAGGCCCUCUCCAGGCCAACACAGACCCAACCCUGUUUCAAGGCCCCUGGCUCUCUGCAGAGUUCAAGGAUGGGGAGUUAAGGCUCUGCAUUCUUUCCCACUCCCAAAGAUUGUACAUAGGAAGCAGAGGAGAGGGGAGACUGUUGUUGCAGCUAGAAGAGGCAGGUGUCAAAGGAUGUUGGAUGCAGCCGUAGAAGGCUCUGGUUGUGAUUAAUGGCCUGGCCAAGCUCCUGCUGCUGUCUUCAGAAGGUGAUGGACAGUUCACACUGGACUCCCACUCCCUGGACCUGGUUGCUUAUUUAGCUGUCAAUAUAGGCAGCUCCCUUCAGAGCAUAGUGACAGAUGUUAGCAGCUCUGGUGACAAGGUGACACAGUGACCCUGUCACCCUUUGUUAAGAAUCAUCAUAGCUCCCAUUCCUGUGUGUCUGUGAGGAGAUAGGCACUGUGCUUGGUGAUAUUCAAACAUCACUUCUAAGAGACAGUGGUUGGGAUCCACUGUCCUAUCCAUGUGUUCUAUAUGUGCAAGGAGAAAUAUAAAAUGACUCAAAAUGCUCCUUUGUAAAUAGCUGCAUGAAGGCCCAGUAGUCUUAUUCUGGGCUCGGUGGGAAAAUCAUUCUCAUAGUUCAGGCCUACAGCUUGUAGGAUUCACUGGAAUGGCUUAUUUAAUCCUCUUUCCAUCUCCCAUCUCCUAGAGUCUAAAGUUUAUGGUCUUCCUGCUUAGGCUUGCUGCAAAGGGUAGGGGAAGACAUGGCUGCAUUUACCAAAAGCCCUUGGUCUUCCCUUGAUCCUCAGCUUAUGCAUAAAGAGGUUCUGCAGCAAAAGGUGGAAGGACAUUGGAGGAUGCAGUCCCUUAAAGCACAGUGGCCUCACCCUUGGUAAAGUGAGUCAGUGUCUGUGGCUGAUGGUGAUCAAUUAAAGAGCAAUUUUCAUUGUUCAGCGAGUGAGGAGAGAGAACGUAACAAGGGGUCAAGUUAAUGACUUUUCCCCAUACCAGCCAUUGAGACUCAGGACAGAAGCACAGACAAGUGGAGCUGGGAUUUGAACUCUGGGCUCUAUCUCCAAAUACAGGCAUUCUUGGUACUAACACCAUGGGCUAAACUUGCAGUGUAGAUCGUGCUUUCCUAUAAGGUCAGCUGGCUGAACGGGCCUAUGGAUCACAUCACUUCACCUGUGCCAUCUCCUGGCUAAACAAACCUGGGCCUGCCUGCUCCAUCUGGGAGGCAACGGGGACCAGUGUCUAGGACUAGGCUUGGGUUUACUCCUGGCUUUGCCAUCUUUUAAGCUGUGUAACCUCAAGUGGUUUGUUAAAUCCCUCUAAUUCUUGGUUUCUUCUCGAGUAAUAAGGGGUGGGAGAGGAGACCCUAUCUUUAGAGCCUGUCUGGCCAGCAGGAGCAUCAGGACAAGGAUUAUUAUGCCCAUUUUACAGAUGGGGCAGCUGAGGCUCAGCAAGGCCAAGUGACUGGCCUGAGUUAGCAGUGCAGAAGCUGGGAUUAGAGUUCAGAGCUCCUGACUCUUCAUUCAGUGCUCUUCCUAAGACAGUCACUCUGACCCCGAGUCCCAGGCCUGGUUGUCCGGCCAGUACAGGGAACAUUUGAAAGAGUUCCAAAGAUUUCCCUGCACUAGCACAGGCAGGCGGUGCUCCAAUCUGGGCCUAACACAGCACUGAGCCCUAGGAGGCAUUCAUCCCUAUUGUUCACUUCAAUCUCAAGCGACCUACCUCAAAAAUGGGGUGGGGUAAGAGGAUUGUUCCAUAGGUGCCCAGCCUGUUCUCCCUUCUCCC